AUUGAACGCUGGCGGCAUGCCUUACACAUGCAAGUCGAACGGCAGCGGACCUUCGGGUGCCGGCGAGUGGCGAACGGGUGAGUAAUAUAUCGGAACGUACCUUUCAGUGGGGGAGUAACGUAGCGAAAGUUACGCUAAUACCGCAUAUUCUGUGAGCAGGAAAGCAGGGGAUCGCAAGACCUUGCGCUGAUUGAGCGGCCGAUAUCAGAUUAGCUAGUUGGUGAGGUAAAGGCUCACCAAGGCGACGAUCUGUAGCGGGUCUGAGAGGAUGAUCCGCCACACUGGAACUGAGACACGGUCCAGACUCCUACGGGAGGCAGCAGUGGGGAAUUUUGGACAAUGGGCGCAAGCCUGAUCCAGCCAUGCCGCGUGAGUGAAGAAGGCCUCGG
rnacentral:rRNA from 1 species